AACGGAGGGGCUAGUGUUAUUCGUCAUGAACUGGGCGUAAAGGGUACGUAGGCGGCAAAGUAAGUUUUGGGGUUAAAGACUGGAGCUCAACUUCUUAAUAGCCUUUUAUACUUGCUUUGCUUGAGUAUUGCAAGAGGGCGGGAGUACUCACGGAGUAGGGUGUAAUCCGAAGAUACCGUAGGGGACUGUCAUCAGGCGAAGGCAUCCUUCCCAGGCAAUUCUGACGCUGAGGUACGGAAGCGUGGGGAGCAAACUG
rnacentral:rRNA from 1 species